UCCUCUCCUCUCCUCUCCUCUCCUCUCUUCUCUCUAGUCCAGAAAUUUUAUACAGCUUAGAAGGUAAAUGUAAAGAUAUCUUCACUACCUAAAGCCUGAGAGCUGUUAUAUGCUCUCAUUAGGAAGAUGGGGAGUUCAGACACAUACAGAAGAUGGAUUAAGAAACUGCAUACUGCUGUGAAAGAUUUUGUGCUAUCAGUCCUUUUGGAAGCAGAUAGCAAACUGCUCUGACCAUCCCCCUCAACUCCCAGCUUCCACACGAUCAGGUCUCAACUCCCAGCUUCCAUUACCCUCUUUUUAAUGCCUCUGGGAAGUGAUUCUAUCUCAUACUAUUUGAAGUAAAUAAGCUGCCCUCCUAAAUCUUUCCAGUACAUAUUCUUCAGGAAGCAAAGACACACAGGCUGCCAUCACCUGAGAAGCAACGUAAACAGAGUCAACAGUCAAUGUGGUUUUCGUGCAUCUCAGUUAAAAAUAACAAUAAAGAAAAAGAACCUGGACCUGCGUUCGCCGCUGGAAUGCACAGCUGGAUGCAGAUCAGAGAGAGCCAAAUCCAAGUCAGCACGUCGGCCUUUCUUUUGGAAGAGGAGGAACAAUAGUAUCCAUAGCCCACAGCAUCUCGCUAUAGACAGAGGCCUCCAGUCCGUGGGACAUCAGGUUGAGCAGGCUGAGAAAAGGGAAAAUAUCAGACCCAAACAGGCUUCGAUAGCAAGGCCGUUAGAGAGGAAAGAAGCAAGUAGCUGAGGGGAGAUGUAGAAACACAUCCUUCUCUUCACAUAGAUUUCAGUCUAACUCCAACAAACAAACAAACAAACAAACAAACAGAGCCAACAACCAGAAGGACCCACGGUCAGAAGGAAUUGCAGAAGGGAACAAUGCAGCUAAUUUUCUUGUGGAGAAGAGCUCUUCCUUGCUCUUCUCCUCCCCACAGCAAUCAGCCAAGCUGGGAAGAGGAGAUUGUCUCUAAACUCAGCAGUGUGCCUUGAGCACGGAACAAGUGCUGACAGUAAACAAGUAAGCACAGUCGACAGCUGUGGCAACCACAGAGGCAAAGCCUGCUCAGUGACAGGAAUGAAGGCUGUUCCAGAGACCUGUGACCAGGAGCUGGGAACAGGUACAAAGAAAGAACGAUGUCUUCGGGAGAAAAGCCUACUUCUGUGCGCCCUUCUUCUCAGUACUCUCCUUGGUUUUGCAUUACUCAUCACCUACAUCACGAUGACUUGUGCUCCAGGUAUAAUGUGGAAUAUCCUUUUCCCUGACUCCAUAUCCACCCUGUUUUUAAGAUCUCUUCCUCCCUCUGCCUGCAUGGAUUAUUGUGCCCAGUGUCUGUGUGAGGGUAAGACUUUCAGAAAGACGAAGAAGCGUAAAAAAGUACUAGCUGUAAAAAAGGUAGAUUGUUCUGCCUCCUCCUUGUGUGAUAGUAGGGAGAUAUCCCCCUGCUUGUCCUCCUCUGACUGCCAUUUGAUAAGCCUGGGCCCAGCUUUGUGAGAGAGCAGCAUUAUAUUGCCAAGAAGUUCUUGAAUUUCAUCAUCCUGGCUUCUAGCUUCUAUGACCCUGCUCCAUCUGCAGUCAGCUCCAGGAAACUGGCUCUGAAUCUGAGAUUCAGAGCUUCUCUUCCACUUGUCUAUCCUUGCUUUAAUAAGCCUAGUUCUAGUUUUCUAAUGCCAACCACUAUAUUGAUAUACAGAAAACUCACAUUCUCCUGGGCAGUGGGGAAGCUGUGAGUGGAGACCUGAAAUAGUCAGUUACCUUUCAAAUUCACUAAAAAGCUAUCUGCAGAACAGUCCACACAAAUGCUGACAUGUACAGAUAGCUUAAUAUUGAGGCUGUGUUUAUAUGGGUGGGUACAUGUAUCUCCUACUCCAAAACAAGCAUGGUUGACAGGCAUUUUUCUUCAACUUCUGUCAUGAAUGGUUCACUAGAGAAACUAGGGAAAAAGUUGUUAGUUUCGAUCAUGUCCAUUUCCACUCUGCGUACCUCCUUCCACUUUAACAAACCACAGUUUGAAACCAUAGCAUGAAAAUCUUGCUUUGAUCUGUGAGUGGUUAAUUUAAUAGUAGAGCUGAUGUUGAUGUUGUAUCUGAUGUCGAUACAAGACCCUGACUCUAAGUGAGAGCAUACACCCAUUGGGUUCACAGCAUUCCGGAUGAAGGAGGUUUUAAAUGAAAGCAAGAUACACCACAAGCAAGUCUUUGUCCUGUUUAAAAGCUGUCAUUGCCAAGAAACGUUUGUUUCCCAUGCUUGAACACCUCCCUGCGUGCAUUAACCUCUUCUCCUUACCUUCUUUGUACCAUGUCCUCCUUUUGCUUUGUGGGUGAACAUCACCAGUAGUUCCUUGUUUGUCGCCUGGUCAAAUCAGUGCGUGCUGUUUGAGAGAAAACAGAGAGAAGGCGGAGUAAUCCAACCUGUGGCUGCCGAGCAGGAACCACUGGAGGGCACCACCCCUGGACGAAUUGCCUGUCUUUGACUGACACAAUCUCCCUUGCACAGUGCAAAGCAGCUUUGGUGUGAAGUCAAAGACAGAGGGUAUAUUAUUGCAUCCUCAGCAAAAACUUACAGGGAGUUCAACAGUCUGUAUGCAAUGGAGCUUGUAUCAAACAGAAAUCUUAUUCUAAGUUUCCUCUUUUUUUCUUUUUUCUCCUGGCACUCUUGGCCAGACUCCUGAAUU